rnacentral:lncRNA from 1 species
GGAAGAGCGAGAAUAGCCUCCCUCGUGCUUGUUUCCUCUCUUCCUGGGAACCAGUUCUGUCUGCGUUUCUGUCCUCAGCUUGUCUGCCCACUUGGUUUCCAGUCCUGGGAACGCCUUUCCAAAUAAAAAUAUUUCAGGCUAUUUAUCCCAUCAUGUUAACUACACCCUCUGGCUUUGGGGUUAUGUUUUACGUUUUUACUGGUAUGAAACUAGUGUUCAGUAGAAGGCUUGCUGAGUACCUCUAUGAAGCCUUGGUUAAGGUGGUCCCCCAGAUCAAGAGGCAGAGCAUUCCAGCAGCCAGCAGGCUUCUCCCUCUCAUCACCUUCCCAGUCAGUGUGUCCUUUGCUCUCUCCUCCUGUCUCUGGGGACUUCUGCCUGCACCUGUGCUUUAUCAAGAUGGGACCCUGGCGUAUGUGCUGCGCU